rnacentral:rRNA from 1 species
GACAGAGGGUGCAAACGUUGUUCGGAAUUACUGGGCGUAAAGCGCGUGUAGGCGGCCCUGCAAGUCGGAUGUGAAAUCCCACGGCUCAACCGUGGAAGUGCAUUCGAAACUGCAGGGCUAGAGUCCUGGAGAGGAAGGUGGAAUGCUUGGUGUAGAGGUGAAAUUCGUAGAUAUCAAGCGGAACACCGGUGGCGAAGGCGGCCUUCUGGACAGUG